rnacentral:rRNA from 1 species
GUGAACGUUGGCGGUGCGUCUAAUACAUGCAAGUCGAGCGAGGCUUCGAGCCGAGCGGCGGACGGCUGAGUAACACGUUGGUAACUACCUCAAACUCAGGGAUAUCCAUGAGAAAUCAUGGUUAAUACCGGAUGGUCCCGUAAGGGUAAAGCUUUUGCGGUUUGAGAGGUGCCUGCGGCCUAUCAGCUUGUUGGUGAGGUAAAAGCUCACCAAGGCUAUGACGGGUAACUGGUCUGAGAGGAUGACCAGUCAGAGGGAAACUGAGACACGGUUCCCACUCCUACGGGAGGCAGCAGUAAAGAAUCUUCCACAAUGGACGAAAGUCUGAUGGAGCGACACCGCGUGCAGGAUGACGGCCUUCGGGUUGUAAACUGCUUUUCUGGGGGAAUAAUUCUGAAGGUACCCUAGGAAUAAGCACCGGCUAAUCAUGU